rnacentral:tRNA from 1 species
GGGCAGCUAGCUCAGUUGGUUAGAGCGUUCGGUUCACAUCCGAGAGGUCACAGGUUCGAUUCCUGUGCUGCCCACCA